UCGAUUUGGGUGGCGGACGGGUGAGUAACGCGUAAAGAACUUGCCUCACAGCUAGGGACAACAUUUGGAAACGAAUGCUAAUACCUGAUAUUAUGAUUAUAGGGCAUCCUAGAAUUAUGAAAGCUAUAUGCGCUGUGAGAGAGCUUUGCGUCCCAUUAGCUAGUUGGAGAGGUAACGGCUCACCAAGGCGAUGAUGGGUAGCCGGCCUGAGAGGGUGAACGGCCACAAGGGGACUGAGACACGGCCCUUACUCCUACGGGAGGCAGCAGUGGGGAAUAUUGGACAAUGGACCGAGAGUCUGAUCCAGCAAUUCUGUGUGCACGAUGACGUUUUUCGGAAUGUAAAGUGCUUUCAGUUGGGAAGAAAAAAAUGACGGUACCAACAGAAGAAGUGACGGCUAAAUACGUGCCAGCAGCCGCGGUAAUACGUAUGUCACGAGCGUUAUCCGGAUUUAUUGGGCGUAAAGCGCGUCUAGGUGGUUAUGUAAGUCUGAUGUGAAAAUGCAGGGCUCAACUCUGUAUUGCGUUGGAAACUGUGUAACUAGAGUACUGGAGAGGUAAGCGGAACUACAAGUGUAGAGGUGAAAUUCGUAGAUAUUUGUAGGAAUGCCGAUGGGGAAACCAGCUUACUGGACAGAUACUGACGCUGAAGCGCGAAAGCGUGGGUAGCAAACAGGAUUAGAUAACCUGGUAGUCCACGCCGUAAACGAUGAUUACUAGGUGUUGGGGGUCGAAC
rnacentral:rRNA from 1 species